rnacentral:lncRNA from 1 species
UUUAUUUGAAGCCUAAAAUUCUUCUUAUAAUCUAAAAAUAUUUAAAAAAAGAUGUUUAAAGAUAUCCUUCUUGACAAGCUUAAUGUUUUUAGAAAUCCUAUAUCCAAGCAACCUUAAAUCCUGAAAACUUUAGUUUUUAAACACUUUUAUUUCUACAUGUGAAUUCCUACCAAUUCUAAAUAAUUUUAAAAAGAUUCUUUGUAAGCUCUAAUAGUAUCUUAAGUAAAUCCUAACAAACUCUAACAAGCCUUACAAAAUCCAAAAAUAAACUGAAAAUAAAUCUCAACAAUAAUCAAAAUAAAAUUCUAAAAGGACUUAUAGAAACUUUUAAUAAAAGUUAAUAAAUUCUAAAUAUGUUUCAAAAAAAUAUAUUAAAAUCCUAUACAAAUCUUUAC